rnacentral:rRNA from 1 species
CCCUUAGAUGCUCUGGGCCGCACGCGCGCUACACUGGUCGAUGCAACGAGUUUCUUUCCUUGGCUGACAGGCCUGGGCAAUCUUUGAACAUCGAUCGUGAUCGGGAUAGAUUCUUGUAAUUUUUGAUCUUAAACGAGGAAUUCCUAGUAAACGCAAGUCAUCAGCUUGCAUUGAUUACGUCCCUGCCCUUUGUACACACCGCCCGUCGCACCUACCGAUUGAAUGGUCCGGUGAAAUCUCCGGACUGGCGUGAGUCGGAGCAAUCUGACAAACACCGGAAAGUUGAUUAAACCUUACCAUUUAGAGGAAGGUGAAGUCGUAACA